UUCCAGACUCCUACGGGAGGCAGCAGUGGGGAAUAUUGCACAAUGGGGGAAACCCUGAUGCAGCGACGCCGCGUGAGCGAUGAAGUAUUUCGGUAUGUAAAGCUCUAUCAGCAGGGAAGAAAAUGACGGUACCUGACUAAGAGGCCCCGGCUAACUACGUGCCAGCAGCCGCGGUAAUACGUAGGGGGCAAGCGUUAUCCGGAUUUACUGGGUGUAAAGGGAGCGUAGACGGCUGUGCAAGCCAGAUGUGAAAGCCCGGGGCUCAACCCCGGGACUGCAUUUGGAACUGUGUGGCUGGAGUGUCGGAGAGGCAGGCGGAAUUCCUAGUGUAGCGGUGAAAUGCGUAGAUAUUAGGAGGAACACCAGUGGCGAGGGCGGCUUGCUGGGCUUUUACUGACGCUGAGGCUCGAAAGUGUGGGGAGCAAACAGGAUUAGAUACCCCUGUAC
rnacentral:rRNA from 1 species